GCCUGGCAGCUCAACAACCUGAGGCCCAAGAUGGUGAUCGCUGCACUGCCGCGAACUGCUCCCACUGCCGGGCAAUGAGGAGAAACGGCUGUCGCCUUCCACAGGGAGCCUGCCUUGAUCUCUGUGAUCAGGAAUGUGGCUGAGCAAAUGGAGCUUGUACCUCCAGGAUGGAUGUGCCUCCCAGAUGCUAGUUGCUAGAAGAGUCCUGGCAGUGGAGGGAAAGUUGGCUCUGCACUGAAGGCUCCACAUAAAGGGCUC